GGGAGCCUCGGGCUCGCGCGCCUCGGCGGUGACAUCAUCGCUUCGGCUCUGAGCGGAGCCACGCCUCCUGAACAUGGUCAUUGGUCGGUGCCACCCCCACCCCCCGCCCGCCCUGCCGAGGGGCUGGUCCCUCGGGCUCGCCGGGCCCAGUGCUACCCCCCCAUUGGCUCGAGCUCGCCGUCCGUCAGGCGGCUGUUAAAGGGGCCGCGGCCCCGGGAGUGCAGGGAGGGGGCUGCUGGAUUUUGGGGGGAGCAAGGGGGGCGGGGGAGGGGGCGGCUGCGGCCUCAAGGGGGGAGCCCAAGCCGGGGCCUAGAGACAGAGACAGCAACCCAGAGACAGAAACAGAGACGUCGAGACCCAGAGACAGCGCCGGGCGGGCGGCGAGAGCAGAAGGGAGGGAGGGAAGAAGGGAGGGGAGACAGCGAGACCUCGAGCCGGGGAAAGAGGGAAAGCAGGAAGGCAGGAAGACAGGAAGGCGGGGGCCCCUCCCGGCCUCCUCGGGGCUCCCGCCACCCCCGCCCCCGCCGCAGCCCCAGCGCCGCCACCCGAUCAGGUAAGAGACGGAGUCCCGGAGACCCCGGAGACCCCGGAGUCCGGGCCUCGCGACGUCCCGCAGAGACCCUGGCGUCCCGGCUAUCCCCCCCCCCGACGUCCCGCAGGGACCCCGGCAUUCGGGCACCCCGCAGGGACCAGGACGGCCGGGCGUCCCUUCUCGCUCUGACAUCCUCCAGAGAUCCAAACAUCCCGGCCUCCCCCACAUCCUGCAGGAACCUGGGCCGGCGUCUCUACUUGCCCCAAUGCCCCUCAGGGACCACGGAGUCUAGGCUUCCUGGGUCCCCUCUCAGGGACCCAGAUAUUUUGGACUCCCUGAGAAUACGCUGGGGACCUAGGCAUCCAAGCCCCAGCCCUUGUCCUUUCGGGGAGCCAGAAGUCCCUUCCCCCAGCCCCCACUGUAUAGCUCCCCCGCUUCCAUCUUUCCCUUCUCCGGGACCCAUGCGUCCUGGCUUCCCCCCGAGCCGCACCCGCUUCAUUCAUCUCCGCCCAUCUUUGGCCAGCGGCCCUAUUCUAGAACCCUAG
rnacentral:lncRNA from 1 species